rnacentral:rRNA from 1 species
AGGACGAACGCUGGCGGCGUGCUUAACACAUGCAAGUCGAGCGGAAAGGCCCUUCGGGGUACUCGAGCGGCGAACGGGUGAGUAACACGUGAGCAACCUGCCCCUGGCUCUGGGAUAGCCUCCGGAAACGGGGAUUAAUACCGGACAUUCUCCGCCUUCCGCAUGGUUGGCGGUGGAAAGUUUUUUCGGCCGGGGAGGGGCUCGCGGCCUAUCAGCUUGUUGGCGGGGUAACGGCCCACCAAGGCGACGACGGGUGG